CGCUGGCGGCGUGCUUAACACAUGCAAGUCGAACGAUGAACCACUUCGGUGGGGAUUAGUGGCGAACGGGUGAGUAACACGUGGGCAAUCUGCCCUGCACUCUGGGACAAGCCCUGGAAACGGGGUCUAAUACCGGAUAUGACCAUCUUGGGCAUCCUUGAUGGUGUAAAGCUCCGGCGGUGCAGGAUGAGCCCGCGGCCUAUCAGCUUGUUGGUGAGGUAAUGGCUCACCAAGGCGACGACGGGUAGCCGGCCUGAGAGGGCGACCGGCCACACUGGGACUGAGACACGGCCCAGACUCCUACGGGAGGCAGCAGUGGGGAAUAUUGCACAAUGGGCGAAAGCCUGAUGCAGCGACGCCGCGUGAGGGAUGACGGCCUUCGGGUUGUAAACCUCUUUCAGCAGGGAAGAAGCGAAAGUGACGGUACCUGCAGAAGAAGCGCCGGCUAACUACGUGCCAGCAGCCGCGGUAAUACGUAGGGCGCAAGCGUUGUCCGGAAUUAUUGGGCGUAAAGAGCUCGUAGGCGGCUUGUCACGUCGGGUGUGAAAGCCCGGGGCUUAACCCCGGGUCUGCAUUCGAUACGGGCUAGCUAGAGUGUGGUAGGGGAGAUCGGAAUUCCUGGU
rnacentral:rRNA from 1 species